CAGUGCGUCAGCAUUGUUCAGCCAGGACAUCUCUGUUAAGAUGGCGUCUGAUUUUCUCAUGAAGCUGUCAGGAUCUCCUCAAUUAAAGAAGAGUAUAAGCUUUUGCUUCAAAGUUGACAACAUUUGGCAACUGCCCUCAUUCCUUAUAAUAAAUGGAAGAUAAGCAGUAUCCAAAACUCACAAUAUGCCCUAAAGCCAUCUGUAAUUCUGUGUCAACUACUUGGUUAUUACUCAGUUAACUGUUAUUUGGGAAAUGUAUUUAAUCUCUCUAGGUCUGAGAUCUCUCAUCUGCAAAAUGGGGAUAAUACUAGUGCCUACCUCAAAGGGUGGCUGUGAGAAUUAGAUAAAUUAAUACAGGUAAAUACUUGGUGUGUUACCCAGCUCAUGUUAUGUGCUCAAUAAAUGAUAGAUCUAGCUCUAUCCAUAUAUAUCUA
rnacentral:sRNA from 1 species